AACGAACGCUGGCGGCAUGCCUAACACAUGCAAGUCGAACGAGACCUUCGGGACUAGUGGCGCACGGGUGCGUAACGCGUGGGAACCUGCCCUUAGGUACGGAAUAACUCCUCGUAAGGGGUGCUAAUACAGGAUAAUGUACUCGAACAAAAGAUUCAUCGCACUUGGUUGGGCCCGGGUUGGUUUAGCUUGUUGGUAGUGUAAAAGCCUACCAGGGCGACGAUCCAUAGCUGGUCUGAGAGGAUGCUCAGCCACACUGGGACUGAGACGCGGCGCAGACUCCUACGGGAGGCAGCAGUGGGGAAUAUUGGACUAUGGGCGAAAGCCUGAUCCAGCAAUGCCGCGUGAGUGAUGAAGGCCUUAGAGAUGUAAAGCACUUUUACCCGGGAUGAUAAUGACAGUACCGGGAGAAUAAGCUCCGGCUAACUCCGUG
rnacentral:rRNA from 1 species